GACGUAGGGCGCGAGCGUUGUCCGGAUUUAUUGGGCGUAAAGAGCUCGUAGGCGGCUUGUCGCGUCGACCGUGAAAACUUGGGGCUCAACCCCAAGCCUGCGGUCGAUACGGGCAGGCUCGAGUUCGGUAGGGGAGACUGGAAUUCCUGGUGUAGCAGUGAAAUGCGUAGAUAUCAGGAGGAACACCGAUGGCGAAGGCAGGUCUCUGGGCUGACACUGACGCUCAUGCACGAAAGCGUGGGGAGCAAACAGG
rnacentral:rRNA from 1 species